rnacentral:sRNA from 1 species
GCCGGGCAUGGUGGUGCAAGCCUGUAAUCCCAGUGGCUUGGGAGGUUGAGGCAGGAGGAUCAAAGCCAACCUCAGCAAAAUCGAGGCACUAAGCAACUCAUUGAAGACUCUGUCUCUA